AACGAACGCUGGCGGCAGGCCUAACACAUGCAAGUCGAGCGCCCUCGCAAGGGGGAGCGGCGGACGGGUGAGUAACGCGUGGGAAUUUUCCUCAAGGUACGGAACAACUCAGGGAAACUUGGGCUAAUACCGUAUGAUGUCUAGCGACCAAAGAUUUAUCGCCUUGGGAUAAGCCCGCGUCAGAUUAGGUAGUUGGUGGGGUAACGGCCUACCAAGCCUGCGAUCUGUAGCUGGUCUGAGAGGACGAUCAGCCACAUUGGGACUGAGACACGGCCCAAACUCCUACGGGAGGCAGCAGUGGGGAAUCUUGCGCAAUGGGCGAAAGCCUGACGCAGCCAUGCCGCGUGAAUGAUGAAGGUCUUAGGAUUGUAAAGUUCUUUCGCCCGUGACGAUGAUGACGGUAACGGGAGAAGAAGCCCCGGCUAACUUCGUGCCAGCCGCCGCGGUAAAAC
rnacentral:rRNA from 1 species